ACUCCUACGGGAGGCAGCAGUGGGGAAUAUUGCACAAUGGGCGCAAGCCUGAUGCAGCCAUGCCGCGUGUAUGAAGAAGGCCUUCGGGUUGUAAAGUACUUUCAGCAGUGAGGAAGGUGGGUAUGUUAAUAGCAUACACUAUUUGACGUUAGCUGCAGAAGAAGCACCGGCUAACUCCGUGCCAGCAGCCGCGGUAAUACGGAGGGUGCGAGCGUUAAUCGGAAUUACUGGGCGUAAAGCGCAUGCAGGUGGUUUGUUAAGUCAGAUGUGAAAGCCCGGGGCUCAACCUCGGAAUUGCAUUUGAAACUGGCAAACUAGAGUACUGUAGAGGGGGGUAGAAUUUCAGGUGUAGCGGUGAAAUGCGUAGAGAUCUGAAGGAAUACCGGUGGCGAAGGCGGCCCCCUGGACAGAUACUGACACUCAGAUGCGAAAGCGUGGGGAGCAAACA
rnacentral:rRNA from 1 species